UGGCGGACGGGUGAGUAACGGCGUGGGUAACCUGCCUUACACAGGGGGAUAACACCUGGAAACAGGUGCUAAUACCGCAUAAGCGCACAGGGCCGCAUGGCCCGGUGUGAAAAACUCCGGUGGUGUAAGAUGGACCCGCGUCUGAUUAGCUUGUUGGCGGGGUAGAGGCCCACCAAGGCGACGAUCAGUAGCCGGCCUGAGAGGGUGGACGGCCACAUUGGGACUGAGACACGGCCCAAACUCCUACGGAAGGCAGCAG
rnacentral:rRNA from 1 species